ACCAGUUUGGCUCAGUGGAUAGAGUGUUGGCCUGCGGACUGAAGGGUCCCAGGUUCGAUUCCUGGGACAUGUA
rnacentral:tRNA from 1 species